GCCCUUGUGAUGCAAUGGUUAAUCACUCAGCUGCUAACUGAAAGAUUGGUGGUUCGGACCCACCCAGCGGCU
rnacentral:tRNA from 1 species